rnacentral:rRNA from 1 species
UACCCGCUGAACUUAAGCAUAUCAAUAAGCGGAGGAAAAGAAACCAACAGGGAUUGCCUCAGUAACGGCGAGUGAAGCGGCAACAGCUCAAAUUUGAAAUCUGGCUCUUUCAGGGUCCGAGUUGUAAUUUGCAGAGGAUGCUUCGGGUUCAGCUCCGGUCUAAGUUCCUUGGAACAGGACGUCAUAGAGGGUGAGAAUCCCGUAUGUGACUGGCCGCCACGCCCGUGUGAAGCUCCUUCGACGAGUCGAGUUGUUUGGGAAUGCAGCUCAAAAUGGGUGGUAAAUUUCAUCUAAAGCUAAAUAUUGGCCAGAGACCGAUAGCGCACAAGUAGAGUGAUCGAAAGAUGAAAAGCACUUUGGAAAGAGAGUCAAACAGUACGUGAAAUUGUUGAAAGGGAAGCGCUUGCAACCAGACUUGCCCGCAGGUGAUCAGCCGGUAUUCUUACCGGUGCACUCGCCUGCGGUCAGGCCAGCAUCGGUUUGGGCGGCUGGAUAAAGUCCACCGGAAUGUAGCUCCCCUCGGGGAGUGUUAUAGCCGGAGGUGCCAUGCAGCCCGCCCGGACCGAGGACCGCGCUUCGGCUAGGAUGCUGGCGUAAUGGUUGUAAGCGACCCGUCUUGAAACACGGACC